UAACCUUAUUUUUGUCUAUGUCUGUUUAAUCUUCCUCUCCUUCCCCACUCCUCUUUGUGGUUUCUUUGUAUAAUGGUGAAUCUCUUAAGGCAAGCAUGUUUCUAUUAAAAGUAGGGGACAAGUUGAAGAUUCCAGGUUUUAAAAAGGUAAUUCCUGGAUUAUGUUUUAAUAGAUUCCAGUUGAGAGAUGAGUUUGAGUCAAAUCAUUGGUACGUGGCCCUACUUGAAUCCUGCAUCCAAUCCAAAUCUCUUUCUCAAGGGAAGAUUAUACAUCAACAUAUCAUUAAGAACAAUUCUAAUAUCAAAGAUUUCUCCAUUAUCCUUGACAAGCUUACUCAUCUCUAUGUUAAAUGUAAUGAAGUCGAACUUGCCCGCCAAGUGUUUGAGAAAAUUCCAAACCCAAGUGUUGUUUGUUGGAACAUGAUGAUCAGAGCUUAUGCCUGGAAUGGACCCUUUCAACAAGCCAUAGAUUUGUACUAUAAGAUGUUGCAACUUGGGGUGACACCCAAUAAAUUCACUUUCCCUUUUAUUCUCAAAGCUUGUUCGGCUCUGCAAGAUAUACAAGUUGGGCAAGAAAUCCACAAGCAUGCCGAGCAACUUGGUCUCGAAAUGGACGUUUAUGUUUGCACAGCCUUGGUUGACAUGUAUGCCAAAUGUGGAGAUUUGUUUCAAGCACAAACCUUAUUUAAUUGUAUGUCCAGCAGGGAUAUUGUGGCAUGGAAUGCCAUCAUUGCUGGGUUUUCACUGCAUACACUUCACAAUGAAACUAUGGAGUUACUUGUACAAAUGCAACAAGCAGGAAUAGUUCCCAAUUCUUCAACUAUUGUAGCAGUUCUACCCACAGUUGGACAAGCUAAUGCAUUAAGCCAGGGGAAGGCAAUCCAUGGUUACUCUUUAAGGAAAAUGUUCAGUGACAGUGUUGUUGUUGGAACUGGUCUUUUGGAUAUGUAUGCUAAAUGCCAUCAUUUAUCUUAUGCCAGGAAGAUUUUUGAUCGGAUGAAGCAAAAGAAUGAGAUAUGUUGGACUGCUAUGAUUGGAGGAUAUGUUGCUUGUGAUUUCAUGACAAAUGCAUUGGCCCUUUUUGAUGAGAUGGUACAUGUUUAUGAGUUAAACCCUACACCAGUUACUCUUGCAAGCAUACUUCGAGCUUGUGCUAAGCUUACUAAUUUGAACAAAGGGCAAAGCUUACAUUGUUACAUGAUUAAAUCAAGGAUGGACUUAGAUACAACGGUAGGAAACUCACUCAUAUCAAUGUAUGCUAAGUGUGGGAUGAUGGAGGAUGCAGUCGGAUUUCUUGAGGAAAUGACCUCAAAGGAUACAGUUUCAUAUAGUGGUAUCAUGUCAGGAUGUGUGCAAAAUGGCCAUGCUGAGAAGGCUUUACUUAUUUUUCGCCAGAUGCAGUUGUCUGGGUUUGAACCAGAUUUGGCAACCAUGAUGGCCCUUCUACCAGCUUGUUCACAUUUGGCUGCUCUACAACAUGGGGCCUGUUGCCAUGGAUACUCAGUCAUUCGGGGCUUCACGUCAGAGUCGUCCAUCUGUAAUGCCAUUAUUGACAUGUACUCAAAGUGUGGAAAGAUUCAUAUUGAUAGGAUGCAUAAACGGGAUGUGGUUUCAUGGAAUACAAUGAUAAUUGGUUAUGGUAUUCACGGGCAAUGCACAGAGGCACUUUCUUUAUUCCAUGAGUCUCAGGUUUCAGGCUUGAAGCCAGAUGAUGUGACCUUUGUUGCUGUUUUAUCUGCCUGCAGCCAUUCAGGGCUUGUCAAGGAAGGGAAAUAUUGGUUUAAUGCCAUGAACCAAGAGUUCAGCAUCACUCCAAGAAUGGCACAUUAUAUUUGCAUGGUGGACCUUCUCGCCCGAGCAGGAAAUUUGGAUGAAGCAUACAUCUUUAUUCAAAGGAUGCCAUUCGAGCCUGAUGUUCGUGUAUGGAGUUCAUUGCUUGCUGCAUGUAGGACCCACAGAAAUAUUGAAAUGGGGGAAGAAGUGUCAAAGAGGAUCCAGAAGCUGGGACCUGAAAGUACAGGAAACUUUGUUCUUAUGUCAAACAUCUAUAGCUCUGUUGGGAGAUGGGAUGAUGCAGCACAAAUCAGAACAAUACAACAGCAUCAAGGUUACAAGAAAAGCCCAGGAUGCAGUUGGGUUGAGGUCUCUGGCAUAAUCCAUGGAUUUAUUGGCGGGGAUCAAUCUCAUCCACAAUCAGCAUCCAUAAAUAAAAAAUUACAGGAGCUGCUAGUGCAAAUGAAAAGGCUGGGAUACAGUGCAGAUUCUAAUUUUGUUCUCCAUGAUGUUGAAGAAGAGGAGAAAGAACAGAUUCUCCUAUAUCAUAGUGAAAAAAUAGCCAUUGCAUUUGGACUUCUUAAUAUCAGCCCCUCCAAGCCCAUUCUAGUUACAAAAAAUCUGAGAAUUUGUGUUGACUGCCAUUCUGCAAUAAAGUUUAUGGCACUCAUAACAAAUAGGGAGAUAAUAGUGAGAGAUGCAAGUCGAUUCCAUCAUUUUAAGAAUGGCAUAUGCAAUUGUGGGGAUUUCUGGUGAGAUAAAGGAAAGGUAUUAUACUUGCUAGUUGCUAUGGUUCAAUUAAGAUAUGGCGAGGUAGAUGUGAAUAAACCUGCAAUAUGGUGGAAGUUAACAAUGUCCUCCAUGGGAAUUAAAAUCACAAAGAAUCCAUUGCAAAAUAUUACCUUAACUAUUAAAAGCAAUAAAGAACACUGUGGAUCCGAAACAGAAGAAACUAGCUAGGGG